GCCUCCUUAGCUCAGCUGGUAGAGCAGCUGAUUUGUAAUCAGCAGGUCGUCGGUCCGAAGCCGGCAGGAGGCU
rnacentral:tRNA from 1 species